AACAUGCCAGAGCGACUAUUUACUUCCGGGUGUCUCCGUUUCAAAGUAUCGCGAGAUUUGCAACGAUCUGUUGAUGACUAAUUUAGAAAGUGCGUUCAUUAUGUUUGCAUGCCCACACAACGAUGCAAAGAUAAACAUGAAGUAAUAGCACUUCUGAUGCCGUAGCCGAAGGGAAUGGAGCCAAAGUUGUCGACGCGAUCAGUGGAGUCUUUCCUUAUCCAGCGAUCUGGCCUGAAGUCUGAGGAUUCAGGGAAGUUCUCCUCCUCCAUAGAAGUGUGGAAGUGACACAGGGCCAGCUGAGUCUAACACAAAACAGAGAAGUGUGAGUUGUGUAACAGAAGCAGCUGUGUGACUGUGCAUGCAGCUGAGACAGGAAGAGAGAGGGGUGUGAGUCAUGCAGGAUUAUGUAUCAUCUAAUCUAAUGUAAUGUUUUUGGCUGCCUCACAUGGUCCCCCUCUUUCUUCUGCACAUGCACACUCCAACCUUACAUCACGUCUUCAUCACUCUUACCCCUUUGGGGAUGAAGUAUCCGCCAACCACCAAGUCAUCCUGGGUGAUCCGUCCGUUUCCUGGGAGAACUGGAAAAAGCCUGCUCCCAGGGAGAGGCACAAAGACUGUUAUUCAUCUGAAACAUUAAUCUCUCCAAGAGGUUUAAGUCUGCUGCUACUGGACUAAUGAAGGACAAGAUAAUGAGGAAUUAAAGAUACUACAACAAUG